rnacentral:rRNA from 1 species
GCGCCAGACUCCUACGGGAGGCAGCAGUGGGGAAUAUUGCACAAUGGGGGAAACCCUGAUGCAGCGACGCCGCGUGAGUGAAGAAGUAUUUCGGUCUGUAAAGCUCUAUCAGCAGGGAAGAAAAUGACGGUACCUGAUUAAGAAGCCCCGGCUAACUACGUGCCAGCAGCCGCGGUAAUACGUAGGGGGCAAGCGUUAUCCGGAUUUACUGGGUGCAAAGGGAGCGUAGACGGUGAUGCAAGUCAGAAGUGAAAGCCCGGGGCUCAACUCCGGGACUGCUUUUGAAACUGUGUGACUGGAGUGCAGGAGAGGUAAGCGGAAUUCCUGGUGUAGCGGUGGAAUGCGUAGAUAUAUGGAAGAACACCAGUGGCGAAGGCGGCUCUCUGGUCUGCAACUGACGCUGAGGCUCGAAAGCAUGGGUAGCGAACAGGAUUAGAUACCCUUGUACU